AUUGAACGCUGGCGGCAGGCCUAACACAUGCAAGUCGAGCGGAUGAAGGGAGCUUGCUCCUGGAUUCAGCGGCGGACGGGUGAGUAAUGCCUAGGAAUCUGCCUGGUAGUGGGGGAUAACGUCCGGAAACGGGCGCUAAUACCGCAUACGUCCUGCGGGAGAAAGUGGGGGAUCUUCGGACCUCACGCUAUCAGAUGAGCUUAGGUCGGAUUAGCUAGUUGGUGGGGUAAAGGCCUACCAAGGCGACGAUCCGUAACUGGUCUGAGAGGAUGAUCAGUCACACUGGAACUGAGACACGGUCCAGACUCCUACGGGAGGCAGCAGUGGGGAAUAUUGGACAAUGGGCGAAAGCCUGAUCCAGCCAUGCCGCGUGUGUGAAGAAGGUCUUCGGAUUGUAAAGCACUUUAAGUUGGGAGGAAGGGCAGUAAGUUAAUACCUUGCUGUUUUGACGUUACCAACAGAAUAAGCACCGGCUAACUUCGUG
rnacentral:rRNA from 1 species